CAACACGUCUGUCUAUCUGGCUUCCUUUUAGUUGGUGGUUGUGCCGGCCUCCAGCUGGGUCUCUUAGACCCUGUUCUUAAUUUUCUAAAGUUACACACAAGGUUUAUGGCACAAAAACAGAUUAAAAAUGGUGGAGACUCUCUCAGAAAGCACCAACAACAACACUGUUUGGCUUGCACAGGUUCGUGAAUUUGAUGAAAUUUAAAAUUAAAUUGAGGAAAGGAGUCUGAAGAAAGCGAAGUUUUUGUAGACUGCUAUUGGUUUUUCUGGUUGGUUCGAAAUACUUUUGAGCUUGAGAGACAACCCAGAAUUCAAAUCAGAAAAAAAAAACCCCCCGCGAAUUGGAUCCCGAUUCGAAGAAAAUUUUAAGCCCAAAAAAAAGAUGUGCUCCCUGGAUUCAUAGAUGAUAGAUUUCGUAUGAGCUACAUGCGUCCAACUAUUUUGUAGGAUCUACAAUUGCAAUGCCUUUGAUGGAUAAAGCACAUAGGACCCGGCUACUCUUAUAAAGCUUCUUUAGCAUCGUAAUGCUAUUCAUGGAGUGGUUCAAAGAAUUCCAAAAGCUUCAUUCACCCAAUUUAUGCUCUUCAUGUAAAAAUUCUUUCAAAAAGCUUAAACAUCUUUCAGUGUAAAUAACAAUAUCAUUCUGUAACAAUAUAUUAUAGCUUUGAAACAUAUUUUUUCAUACGAUUUCUAA